CCUACGGGUGGCAGCAGUGGGGAAUAUUGCACAAUGGGCGCAAGCCUGAUCCAGUAACGCCGCGUGAAGGAAGAAGGGUUUCGGGUCGUAAAAUUCUAUCAACAGGGACGAAAGAAAUAACGGUACCUGAAUAAGAAGCCCCGGCUAACUACGUGCCAGCAGCCGCGGUAAUACGUAGGGGGCAAGCGUUAUCCGGAUUUACUGGGUGUAAAGGGGGAGUAGGCGGCAAGGUAAGCCUGAUGUGAAAGCCUUGGGGUCAACCCGAGGAUUGCAUUGGCAACUGUCAAGCUAGAGUGCAGGAGAGGAAAGCGGAAUUCCUAGUGUAGCGGUGAAAUGCGUAGAUAUUAGGAAGAACACCAGUGGCGAAGGCGGCUUUCUGGACUGAAACUGACGCUGAGGCACGAAAGCGUGGGGAGCGAACAGGAUUAGAUACCCUUGUAGUC
rnacentral:rRNA from 1 species